rnacentral:rRNA from 1 species
GGACUACCCGGGUAUCUAAUCCCGUUUGCUCCCCUAGCUUUCGCGCCUCAGCGUCAGAAAAGGUCCAGUCGAGCGCUUUCGCCACCGGCGUUCCUUCUGAUAUCAACGCAUUUCACCGCUCCACCAGAAGUUCCCUCGACCCCUACCUCCCUCCAGCAUCCCAGUAUCCAAGGCACUUCCCCAGUUGAGCUGGGGGCUUUCACCCCGGACUUGAGUUGCCGCCUACGCGCCCUUUAAGCCCAGUGAUUCCGAACAACGUUCGCACGGUUCGUCUUACCGCGGCUGCUGGCAC